GAUGAACGCUGGCGGCGUGCCUAAUACAUGCAAGUCGAGCGAACGGACGAGACGCUUGCUUCUCUGAUGUUAGCGGCGGACGGGUGUGUCACACGUGGAUAACCUACCUAUAAGUCUGGGAUAACUUCGGGAAACCGGCGCUAAUACCGGAUAAUAUUUUGAACCGCAUGGUUCAAAAGUGAAAGACGGUCUUGCUGUCUCUUCUCGAUGGAUCCCCGCUGCAUUAGCUAGUUGGUAAGGUAACGGCUUAUCAAGGCAACGAUGCAUAGCCGACCUGAGAGGGUGAUCGGCCACACUGGAACUUAGACACGGUCCAGGCUCCUACGGGAGGCAGCAGUAGGGAAUCUUCCGCAAUGGGCGAAAGCCUGACGGAGCAACGCCGCGUGAGUGAUGAAGGUCUUCGGAUCGUAAAACUCUGUUAUUAGGGAAGAACAUAUGUGUAAGGAACUGUGCACAGCUUGACGGUACCUAAUCAGAAAGCAACGGCUAACUACGUG
rnacentral:rRNA from 1 species